rnacentral:rRNA from 1 species
UAAAAAUUUAAAUUUAAAAUACUAAAAUAGUAUAUAAUUAUUUAUUGAAACUUAAAUAAUUUGGCGGUAUUUUAGUUCAUUUAGAGGAAUCUGUUUAUUAAUUGAUAAUCCACGAAUGAAUUUACUUAAUUUAAAAUUUUGUAUAUCGUUGUUAAAAAAAUAUUUUUAAAUGAAAAUAAUAUUUUAAUUUUAUAAUUAAAAAUUAAAUCAGAUCAAGAUGCAGAUUAUAAUUAAGAAUAUAAUGGAUUACAAUAAAUUUAUUUAAAUGGAUUUUUUUUUGUAAUAAAAAUUUGAAAGUGGAUUUAAAUGUAAUUUUAUUUAUUUUAAUAAAAUGAUUAUAUAUUAAAAUAUGUACAUAUUGCCCGUCGCUUUCAUAAAUAAAUUGGAAUAAGUCGUAACAAAGUAGAGGUACUGGAAAGUGUUUCUAGAAAUAA